UACGGGGGGAGCAAGCGUUGUUCGGAUUUACUGGGCGUAAAGGGCGCGUAGGCGGUCAGCACAAGUCAGUUGUGAAAUCUCCGGGCUUAACUCGGAAAGGUCAACUGAUACUGUGCGACUAGAGUGCAGAAGGGGCAACUGGAAUUCUCGGUGUAGCGGUGAAAUGCGUAGAUAUCGAGAGGAACACCUGCGGCGAAGGCGGGUUGCUGGGCUGACACUGACGCUGAUGCGCGAAAGCCAGGGGAGCGAACGGA
rnacentral:rRNA from 1 species